AAGGAACGCUGGCAGCGUGCAUAACACAUGCAAGUCGAACGAUGAAGCAUUCUUCGGAAUGUGGAAGAGUGGCGAACGGGUGAGGAACACGUAAGAAUCUGCCCCUCGGUCGGGGACAACUUUUGGAAACGAAAGCUAAUACCCGAUACGCUGUGGAGUGAAAGAAUUUCGCCGAGGGAUGAUCUUGCGUCUGAUUAGCUAGUUGGUGCGGUAAUGGCGCACCAAGGCGACGAUCAGUAGCUGGUCUGAGAGGAUGAACAGCCACAUUGGAACUGAGACACGGUCCAAACUCCUACGGGAGGCAGCAGUGGGGAAUUUUCCGCAAUGGACGAAAGUCUGACGGAGCGACGCUGCGUGAAGGAUGACGGCCUGCGGGUUGUAAACUUCUUUUCUCGAAGAAGAAGCUCUGACGGUAUUCGAGGAAUAAGCAUCGGCUAACUCCGUGCCAGCAGCCGCGGUAAGACGGAGGAUGCAAGUGUUAUUCGGAAUGAUUGGGCGUAAAGCGUCUGUAGGCUGUAUAGAAAGUCUUUUGUUAAAUACCUCGGCUCAACCGAGAUCCAGCAAAGGAAACUUCUAUACUUGAGGUAAGUAGAGGUACAGGGAAUUCCCGGUGGAGCGGUGAAAUGCGUAGAUAUCGGGAGGAACACCAAUAUGGCGAAGGCACUGUACUGGGCUUUACCUGACGCUCAGAGACGAAAGCUAAAGGAGUGAUUAGGAUUAGAUACCCUAGUAAUUUUAGCCGUANACGAUGAANACUCACUGCCGAGCGAAAUACAACGAGCGGUGGUCAAGCUAACGCGUGAAGUUUUCCGCCUGGGGAUUACGCUUGCAAAAGUGAAACUCANAGGAAUUGACGGGGACCCGCACAAGCGGUGGAGUAUGUGGUUUAAUUCGAUGCAACACGAAGAACCUUACCAGGGUUUGAAAUCAUUUCAAAACUCCUUGAAAGAGGAGCCUCCUUCGGGAUGAAAUGACAGGUGGUGCAUGGCUGUCGUCAGCUCGUGUUGUGAAAUGUCGAGUUAAGUCUCGUAACGAGCGCAACCCAUGUCUCUUGNUGCUCAUUGNNNGNUUAANANNNNCUGCCGACCAANNUC
rnacentral:rRNA from 1 species